rnacentral:rRNA from 1 species
AGUCGAGCGAAUGGAUUAAGAGCUUGCUCUUAUGAAGUUAGCGGCGGACGGGUGAGUAACACGUGGGUAACCUGCCCAUAAGACUGGGAUAACUCCGGGAAACCGGGGCUAAUACCGGAUAACAUUUUGAACCGCAUGGUUCGAAAUUGAAAGGCGGCUUCGGCUGUCACUUAUGGAUGGACCCGCGUCGCAUUAGCUAGUUGGUGAGGUAACGGCUCACCAAGGCAACGAUGCGUAGCCGACCUGAGAGGGUGAUCGGCCACACUGGGACUGAGACACGGCCCAGACUCCUACGGGAGGCAGCAGUAGGGAAUCUUCCGCAAUGGACGAAAGUCUGACGGAGCAACGCCGCGUGAGUGAUGAAGGCUUUCGGGUCGUAAAACUCUGUUGUUAGGGAAGAACAAGUGCUAGUUGAAUAAGCUGGCACCUUGACGGUACCUAACCAGAAAGCCACGGCUAACUACGUGCCAGCAGCCGCGGUAAUACGUAGGUGGCAAGCGUUAUCCGGAAUUAUUGGGCGUAAAGCGCGCGCAGGUGGUUUCUUAAGUCUGAUGUGAAAGCCCACGGCUCAACCGUGGAGGGUCAUUGGAAACUGGGAGACUUGAGUGCAGAAGAGGAAAGUGGAAUUCCAUGUGUAGCGGUGAAAUGCGUAGAGAUAUGGAGGAACACCAGUGGCGAAGGCGACUUUCUGGUCUGUAACUGACACUGAGGCGCGAAAGCGUGGGAGCAAACAGGAUUAGAUACCCUGGUAGUCCACGCCGUAAACGAUGAGUGCUAAGUGUUAGAGGGUUUCCGCCCUUUAGUGCUGAAGUUAACGCAUUAAGCACUCCGCCUGGGGAGUACGGCCGCAAGGCUGAAACUCAAAGGAAUUGACGGGGGCCCGCACAAGCGGUGGAGCAUGUGGAUUUAAUUCGAAGCACGCGAAGAACCUUACCAGGUCUUGACAUCCUYUGACAACCCUAGAGAUAGGGCUUYUCCUUCGGGAGCAGAGUGACAGGUGGUGCAUGGUUGUCGUCAGCUCGUGUCGUGAGAUGUUGGGUUAAGUCCCGCAACGAGCGCAACCCUUGAUCUUAGUUGCCAUCAUUUAGUUGGGCACUUUAAGGUGACUGCCGGUGACAAACCGGAGGAAGGUGGGGAUGACGUCAAAUCAUCAUGCCCCUUAUGACCUGGGCUACACACGUGCUACAAUGGACGGUACAAAGAGCUGCAAGACCGCGAGGUGGAGCUAAUCUCAUAAAACCGUUCUCAGUUCGGAUUGUAGGCUGCAACUCGCCUACAUGAAGCUGGAAUCGCUAGUAAUCGCGGAUCAGCAUGCCGCGGUGAAUACGUUCCCGGGCCUUGUACACCCCGCCCGUCACACCACGAGAGUUUGUAACCCCCGAAGUCGGUGGGGUAACCUUUUGGAGCCAGCCGC